CCUACUGUUUUAACUAAUUCCCUCUUGUCAAGCCUCAACUUUCAGAAGAGCACUAAUGAAUCAGAAGACCCACAGAGUGACACGAAGACUCAAAAUUAAUUGGCACUGAAGGAUCCAAGGCUUUUUCAAAUAAUGUGAUAUAUUGAUUAACAAAUCCUUUCAGAAAAGAACCUCUUUUAGUGAAAUUUCCCUGAGUGAAGAAGGGACUGGCUGGUUGUGGUGGCUGAAGAAGAAGAUGAAAUAGUGAUGCUGCCUCAAGUAAAUUUUUGCUUAGGGCAAGCUGUGGCUCAUACAAGUGUCUGGAUCUAUCUGGAAAACCCACAUAGUGCUGUCACUAGAGAAUGGGAGAAAUCAUACUUGUCACAAGGACCUGAAGUGGCAACAAAUUGGGUUAGUGGGCUCAGCGGAAUAACAUUUCUUGGACAUUUCCAAACCAGGCUGCCUGCCCUCUGGCCACUAUCCUCAUCCCCUUCUCCUCCACCACUGGAAGCUUUGAUUCUGCCCUGGGACAUCUUGGUUCUGAUAGAUAAGAAAACUGAGGCCCAGUAUGGCUAAAGGAUUUGUCCAAAUCCACACAGCUAUGGCAAUGGCAGAAUGGAAAUUGUUUGGAAUAAAGGAGCCCUGGGUUUGAAUUCUGUAUCAAACUUUUACUAGCUGGGUAACCUUGGACAAGUCAAUU